rnacentral:rRNA from 1 species
UACGUAGGGUGCGAGCGUUAUUCGGAAUUACUGGGCGUAAAGGGUGCGUAGGCGGUUUGCUAAGUCUGAUGUGAAAUCCCCGGGCUCAACCUGGGAACGGCAUUGGAGACUGUCAAGCUAGAGUGCGUCAGAGGGGGGUAGAAUUCCACGUGUAGCAGUGAAAUGCGUAGAGAUGUGGAGGAAUACCGAUGGCGAAGGCAGCGCCCUGGGAUGACACUGACGCUGAAGCACGAAAGCGUGGGGAGCAAACAGG